UGAAAAGGACCGGUCGGCUAAGUACGCGACGUCCUGUCGCAAAGCCGACACUAGCACGUCCUGGGAC
rnacentral:sRNA from 1 species